rnacentral:tRNA from 1 species
GCCCCAAUAGCUCAGCUGGUAGAGCAUUUCAUUCGUAAUGAAGAGGUCGGCGGUUCGAAUCCGUCUUGGGGCA